GGGAAACUUCUGAGAAAGCUCAUUGCAGUAGGGAGCGUGGAGGGAGACACGAACCCGGAGGGAGCUGAAGCACGUCGGCUCUAGGGGCAAGCGUCGCCCCGCCCCGCCCCGGAAACAGUGGAAAUCACCCCGGAAGAGCAACUUAGUCCGCCCCGGAAUUUGAGCCCCAUCCACCAUGGAGACGAGUCGUUCGGGGGCGGGCUCCCGGAGGCUUGAGAGGACCCGGCCACGUGGGUCACGUGACGCCCUUCUCCGGGCCUCUGCCCCGUCGCUGUUUCUAAGGCUCCGGGCUUGAAAAGCUGAACUUUCUCUCCGACGUCCUAGUCCUGCGUCGUCACAGCAACCCUCUGAGAGAGGAAGCACAAGGAAUUGAUAAACUGUUUUUUCUACAAAAGAGGAAACAGAGGCCUGAGCCUUGGACAGGAAUCAAAGUCCGCGCUCAUCUAGAGAUCGGAGGUCUAAAUAAGGGUUCACGGCUCUUCUCGCCUCCGCGGGCCUCAGCCUGGCCCGUCCACAUCUCAGCUUAACGGCCGUGCUUCCGCCAUCAGUCUAGGUUGUGACGCUGCCCCAGUGCGGGAGCCGCGUAUCCCCUCGUCUUAGGCGGGCAAACAAGCCCAAAGAGGUAAUGAACUCUGGGUGAAGAGUUGGCUAUGUCUGGAAGGACAUGGCGCCCUGAAAGGAAAAGAAUUAGUCCGUCAGAUUCGGAACUCUUGCGUUAUUUCUUCGUUGGGCACUGAAGAACGAAGUAAUAUGAGCAAUGAAAACUUUCAUCAGGAAAUAAUUGGGACUCCCAGAUUUGUAUCUCCAUCCCAGAACUCUCUUGUGAACUACAGACUUUUACAUCCAGCAGCCGGCUAGACUUCUGUACUUGGCAGUUCCACAGACACUUCUCACUCAGCUUAUCAAAAAUUGAACUUGUAAACCGUGGACUUUGGGUGAUAAUGAUGUGUCUCAAGCUGCCACUGCCUUUCUCUGUUGAAAACCUCCCGAGUCCCCUCAGGGCUGCUGCUGACCCAGGAGCAAAGAAUGUGCUCUUCGCUCUCAAAGCUUUCUGCAGCCUGGGUCAUCUGGUUUUUACAGAUAAUGGAGUGCGUUGUUUGGUUAUAUAAACUGUCAAUUUUAUUAUGAAGGAUCUUUGUUCAGAAAGAUCUAGUUUUUUAAUCUGCAAAUAAAAAGUACUAAAGGGAAAUGCAUUAACAUAUUGACUGGUUAUUUCUGAGUGGUGGGGAUGUGACUAAUUUUUCUUACUGUCUGUUUACUAUAAUAAGCAUAUAUAAAUUUAUCAAUAAAGAAAAACUCUAUUUAAAAAGGCUAAUAAUGGGGCA